UUUAUAAAAUAACUGUUCUUUUAUUAUUCAUAGUAUGAUAACAAGCAUGAUGCAAAAGUGAUACAGCAAACAACACAGAUUAACAGUUACAUGUAAUUCCUCAUGACGAAAUAGUGUUUAUAUUGGUUCAUCAAUUCCAUACUUACAAUUAGUAACACAUGUUUUGGCCGUAUUUAAACACUGCUCAUAAUUACAAUCUAAUUCCAAAUCCGGGCAAGUAUCAAGAACGCAGGUCGAGAAUGUUGAUCGACAAGUAUUAUCCACACACUCCAUAAAUCCCACCUGCUGCCCUGGCUGCCCAUUCACAUAUGUUGUUGUCGAACCCAACACAAUCAGAAAAAACAGAAAUGGAAGCAAUGAAGUCAUAUUUUGAGAUAACUUGAAAUGUUCAAAGAUAUUGGUUGAGUUUAGAAU
rnacentral:lncRNA from 1 species